GAUGAACGCUGGCGGCGUGCCUAAUACAUGCAAGUCGAGCGAACAGACGAGGAGCUUGCUCCUCUGACGUUAGCGGCGGACGGGUGAGUAACACGUGGAUAACCUACCUAUAAGACUGGGAUAACUACGGGAAACCGGAGCUAAUACCGGAUAACAUGUUGAACCGCAUGGUUCAACAGUGAAAGACGGUCUUGCUGUCACUUAUAGAUGGAUCCGCGCCGCAUUAGCUAGUUGGUAAGGUAACGGCUUACCAAGGCAACGAUGCGUAGCCGACCUGAGAGGGUGAUCGGCCACACUGGAACUGAGACACGGUCCAGACUCCUACGGGAGGCAGCAGUAGGGAAUCUUCCGCAAUGGGCGAAAGCCUGACGGAGCAACGCCGCGUGAGCGAAGAAGGUCUUCGGAUCGUAAAACUCUGUUAUUAGGGAAGAACAAAUGUGUAAGUAACUAUGCACGUCUUGACGGUACCUAAUCAGAAAGCCACGGCUAACUACGUG
rnacentral:rRNA from 1 species